CCCUUAGAUGUUCUGGGCCGCACGCGCGCUACACUGGUUCAUGCAACAAGUUUUGUCCUUGGCUGAUAGGCCUGGGUAAUCUUUGAACGUGAAUCGUGAUGGGGAUAGAUGAUUGCAAUUAUUCAUCUUCAACGAGGAAUUCCUAGUAAACGCAAGUCAUCAGCUUGCAUUGAUUACGUCCCUGCCCUUUGUACACACCGCCCGUCGCACCUACCGAUUGAAUGGUCCGGUGAAAUCUUCGGAUCUGAGAGAUGUCUGAUUAAUUUCGGACGCCUUUUGGAAAAGUUGUUUAAACCUUACCAUUUAGAGGAAGGUGAAGUCGUAACA
rnacentral:rRNA from 1 species